CGAAAGCCUGACGGAGCAAUACCGCGUGAGGGAGGAAGGCUUUUGGGUUGUAAACCUCUUUUCUCAAGGAAGAAAAAAAUGACGGUACCAGAUGAAUAAGCCUCGGCUAACUCCGUGCCAGCAGCCGCGGUAAUACGGAGGAUGCGAGCGUUAUCCGGAAUUAUUGGGCGUAAAGCGUCCGCAGGUGGCAAUUCAAGUCUGCUGUCAAAGCACGGGGCUUAACUCCGUAAAGGCAGUGGAAACUGAAUAGCUAGAGUGCCGUAGGGGUAGAGGGAAUUCCCGGUGUAGCGGUGAAAUGCGUAGAGAUCGGGAAGAACAUCGGUGGCGAAAGCGCUCUACUGGACGGCAACUGACACUCAGGGACGAAAGCUAGGGGAGCG
rnacentral:rRNA from 1 species